rnacentral:tRNA from 1 species
GCCGAUAUAGCUCAGUUGGUAGAGCAGCGCAUUCGUAAUGCGAAGGUCGUAGGUUCGACUCCUUAUUAUCGGCACCA